rnacentral:tRNA from 1 species
GCAUCAGUAGCUCAGUUGGUAGAGCACCUGUCCGAAAAACAGGGUGUCGCAGGUUCAACUCCUGCUUGAUGCACCA